rnacentral:rRNA from 1 species
AGCGAACGUUAGCGGCAGGCCUAACACAUGCAAGUCGCACGAGAAUCCGGCUUCGGUCGGUAGUAAAGUGGCGGACGGGUGAGUAACACGUGGAUAAUCUGCCCCUCGGCGGGGGACAACAGUCCGAAAGGAUUGCUAAUACCGCAUACGUCAGCGAGGUCUUCGGACCUUGUUGGGAAAGAUGGCCUCUUCAUGAAAGCUAUCACCGAAGGAUGAGUCCGCGGCCCAUCAGCUAGUUGGCGGGGUAAUGGCCCACCAAGGCUUAGACGGGUAGCUGGUCUGAGAGGAUGAUCAGCCACACCGGAACUGAGACACGGUCCAGACUCCUACGGGAGGCAGCAGUGGGGAAUAUUGGGCAAUGGGCGCAAGCCUGACCCAGCCAUGCCGCGUGAGUGAUGAAGGCC